ensembl:lncRNA
GCGGAAUUGCACAAAAGGCAUAGCAAAUACACAGGUGGGGGACAUCAGGUGUUGCGUAGAUGUGGCAUCAUAUGGAGACUGUCUGGCUGUGAGCAGGGCUGAGAGAGCAAGCUGCCAGUCAGUAUGACGGGAGGAUUGCAUUAGCUACGAGCACAUGUGGUUACCGUAGUCAACUGGAUCCAACUUGUAUCCAGACCAGGUGGUGGACCUGCACCCAGGACGACCACAGCAUGUCAUGACCAGUGAAGACCACCACAAUCAGAUGACGUCACACCUAGUUCUAUUCUUGUAUCAUGUUCUUGUUUUAUGUUCAUGUUUUCACAGAUUUAAUUUUGUAGUGUGUCAUAGCCAUGUUUUCUGUUUUGUCAUAUGAUAUUACCAUGUGGUUCUUUUGUUUUAUGUGUCGAGUUUUUGUUGGUUCAUUGUCUAGUUAGUAGUUCUGUCUUCUCAUUGGUUGUCUUGUUAUCUUGUUUAGUAGUUUUGUCUUGCCAUUGCCCCUAAGCUUUGAUGUAACCUGCUGUUGGUAAGUUUAGGCAAUCACAUUUAUGUCAAGUUCUUGUGUUCUUAAUUCACGUUCAAGUCUGCUUUACUUCAACUCAUACUUUUAUUUGUUUUGUAUCUUGUUCACCAUUUGUCAGAUAAAACUGCACUUGGUUUCUAUGCUUUGGCUCGCCUUCAGUGGACUAAACGUUACAUGAGGACACAGUACAGAUCCUCAGCUAGGACCUCAGCAACUAGUCCAUAUCCAUAUAAGAUGGUGGACCUGCACCUAGAAAAGACCUGACUUGAACAGACUUGAAUGACCACGAUACAAGGAUACAACUAGAUGAGCCAGACAGAUCCCCUGUGAAGACAUAAUCGACAUGACAGCCAUCAGCACAGAUCCUCGUUGAAGACGACAAGAACCAGACAAGUCCUCUGCACAGCCCCUGUGACCAGUUUCAAAUCCUUCUCCAUGUAAUGUACUGCAAUCUUCAAUCAUAAGGAACUGGAUGAAUAUUCUGAAUGAUACCAAUUCACGAACUGACUUGUGAUGCGGCCUAAUGUUCAUUGUCCUGGCCAGACAGAACUGCUCCCUCCCUCCACCUGCCACUCUUGUGUUCAGUGGGUCUUUUAUAAGGUUCAAGUGAAAUUGCCCAUGUGUACACCUAAAACCUGUAACCUUCAAGCAGUGCUAGUAUGGCACAUUUAGAGUUCCUGGCAGUACAGUAUCGUUUCCUUUCCACUGUUUUUACAGAGAGAAAAAAAAUCAGUCUUUGAGGGCUUCACAUCCUGUUCCUGUUCUUCCUGACCUGAGGAUACCUGCUUCCUGUUCCUUGAACAACAGUGGCUGUAACUGAGGAAACCAACACUAUGACUGGUGUGUUGCUAUACUAGUUGGGAAAAAAGCAAGUGUUGUCCCAAUUUUCUAUUUCAAUGAAGGUAUGAGACAAAAGACUUUUGAAGAUUUAUUUCUUGA